GAUUAAGUUAUUAAGGGCGCACGGUGGAUGCCUUGGCACUAGAAGCCGAUGAAGGACGUUACUAACGACGAUAUGCUUUGGGUAGCUGUAAGUAAGCGUUGAUCCAGAGAUUUCCGAAUGGGGGAACCCAGCAUGAGUUAUGUCAUGUUAUCGACAUGUGAAUUCAUAGCAUGUCAGAAGGCAGACCCGGAGAACUGAAACAUCUUAGUACCCGGAGGAAGAGAAAGAAAAAUCGAUUCCCUGAGUAGCGGCGAGCGAAACGGGAAGAGCCCAAACCAACAAGCUUGCUUGUUGGGGUUGUAGGACACUCUAUACGGAGUUACAAAAGAACAUGUUAGACGAAUCAUCUGGAAAGAUGAAUCAAAGAAGGUAAUAAUCCUGUAGUCGAAAACAUAUUCUCUCUUGAGUGGAUCCUGAGUACGACGGAGCACGUGAAAUUCCGUCGGAAUCUGGGAGGACCAUCUCCUAAGGCUAAAUACUCUCUAGUGACCGAUAGUGAACCAGUACCGUGAGGGAAAGGUGAAAAGUACCCCGGAAGGGGAGUGAAAGAGAACUUGAAACCGUGUGCUUACAAGUAGUCAGAGCCCGUUAAUGGGUGAUGGCGUGCCUUUUGUAGAAUGAACCGGCGAGUUACGAUCUGAUGCAAGGUUAAGCAGCAAAUGUGGAGCCGCAGCGAAAGCGAGUCUGAAUAGGGCGUUGAGUAUUUGGUCGUAGACCCGAAACCAGGUGAUCUACCCUUGGUCAGGUUGAAGUUCAGGUAACACUGAAUGGAGGACCG
rnacentral:rRNA from 1 species